rnacentral:rRNA from 1 species
GUCAAGGUGUCUUCGGACGCCGGCGUACGGCUCAGUAACACGUAGGUAACCUACCCUCAGGACUGAGAUAACCCCGGGAAACUGGGGCUAAUAUUAGAUAGAUAAAAGAUACUGGAAUGUUCUUUUAUCCAAAGCUUUUGCGCCUGAGGAUGGGCCUGCGUCCGAUUAGGUUGUUGGUGGGGUAAUGGCCCACCAAGCCUACGAUCGGUACGGGCAGUGAGAGCUGAAGCCCGGAGUUGGGGACUGAGACAAGGCCCCAGGCCCUACGGGGCGCAGCAGGCGCGAAACCUCUGCAAUGCGGGAAACCGUGACAGGGGGAUCCCAAGUGCUCAUGCAUUGCAUGGGCUGUUCUUUGGUCUAAGUAACCAGAGGAGUAAGGGCCGGGCAAGACCGGUGCCAGCCGCCGCGGUA